GGGCCAGUGGUCUAGUGGCUAUGACAUCUCCCUUACGCGGAGAGGAUCGCAGGUUCAAUUCCUGCUUGGCCCACCA
rnacentral:tRNA from 1 species